ensembl:scaRNA
GGUCUGUAGUCUUGGACCUGCCCUGGGUUGGUGAUACCCUAGAGCACACCAGACUUGCAGAAAAAGCAUACUCCGGAGGACCCCGAGGCAUGCCUGCUUGAGAACCAGCGGUUUCAUGUGCAAUUUUCCUCUGAUAGGUCCUGAGUACUGUUGCCACGGUGACAAUGGCUGUGCCGUGCCUUUGUCGAUCCACCAACAGUAAGAGAAGCUUUGCAGACGGGAUAUAAUUUGACAGACUAAGUGGUUUCUGUUAGACACUUAAGUACUGCUACAAAA